AGACCGCCAGCUAAGGUCCCAAAGUCAUGGUUAAGUGGGAAACGAUGUGGGAAGGCCCAGACAGCCAGGAUGUUGGCUUAGAAGCAGCCAUCAUUUAAAGAAAGCGUAAUAGCUCACUGGUCGAGUCGGCCUGCGCGGAAGAUGUAACGGGGCUAAACCAUGCACCGAAGCUGCGGCAGCGAACGUAUCACCCAAGACAACUUUGCGGAGUUGACGAUUGACGGAGCGAAGCGACGUCAAAGCGUUCAUUAAAGUCGAGUUGGCUUAGGGAUACGUUCGUUGGGUAGGGGAGCGUUCUGUAAGCCUGUGAAGGUGGCCUGUGAGGGUUGCUGGAGGUAUCAGAAGUGCGAAUGCUGACAUAAGUAACGAUAAAGCGGGUGAAAAGCCCGCUCGCCGGAAGACCAAGGGUUCCUGUCCAACGUUAAUCGGGGCAGGGUGAGUCGACCCCUAAGGCGAGGCCGAAAGGCGUAGUCGAUGGGAAACGGGUUAAUAUUCCCGUACUUGGUGUUACUGCGAAGGGGGGACGGAGAAGGCUAUGUUGGCCGGGCGACGGUU
rnacentral:rRNA from 1 species